GAUGAACGCUGGCGGCGUGCCUAAUACAUGCAAGUCGAGCGAAUGGAUUAAGAGCUUGCUCUUAUGAAGUUAGCGGCGGACGGGUGAGUAACACGUGGGUAACCUGCCCAUAAGACUGGGAUAACUCCGGGAAACCGGGGCUAAUACCGGAUAACAUUUUGAACCGCAUGGUUCGAAAUUGAAAGGCGGCUUCGGCUGUCACUUAUGGAUGGACCCGCGCCGCAUUAGAUAGUUGGUGAGGUAACGGCUCCCCAAGGCAACGAUGCGUAGCCGACCUGAGAGGGUGAUCGGCCACACUGGGACUGAGACACGGCCCAGACUCCUACGGGAGGCAGCAGUAGGGAAUCUUCCGCAAUGGACGAAAGUCUGACGGAGCAACGCCGCGUGAGUGAUGAAGGCUUUCGGGUUGUAAAACUCUGUUGUUAGGGAAGAACAAGUGCUAGUUGAAUAAGCUGGCACCUUGACGGUACCUAACCAGAAAGCCACGGCUAACUACGUGCCAGCCGCCGCUGUAA
rnacentral:rRNA from 1 species